CAGCCCACCCAUCCCAUGUGGCCCCUUGUUUCUUUUACCGAGCAGCUUCAAAGGGCUCUAAAUACAGCUGCAACUCGCUAGUGUUUUUGGUUAACUCCACCAGCUUUCUAAAUCCACACGCUAUCUAUAACCAGAGUGGUUGGAGACUUUGAGAGAAUGGCAACAGAAGCACCAGGGUGGGCCGACCAAUGGGGCGCAGGCGGCAUCGGUGCCCUGGAGGAUGGAGACAACACCAAAGCCACAGAAAACAGCAGCAACAACAAGAAGGCAGAUACCAAGUCUGGAUUAGGCAAAGCCAAGGUGGCUGCAAUGGCUGGCGCAGAAAAGAUCAAAAAUGGGACAUCCAAUGGUAUCAAAUGGAUCAAAAAUCAGUGCCAGAAAAAAAAACCUUCUAAACCAGUAAACUAAAUUGUCAACCUUAAUAGAUUGUAUCCAGAGCCGUCAUAUAUCUGGAAGUCAAUUGUUUGUUGUUAAGUGGCGGUUGUGUUUUAUUCUAUGCCAUUGAUUGAAGGGCAGGACGGGUCUCUGAUUUCGUAUUGUUUGGACAUUGUUUCAAGCAACUUUAUUUCA